rnacentral:rRNA from 1 species
GCCGGUAAGGUGAUAUGAACCGUUAUAACCGGCGAUACCCGAAUGGGGAAACCCAGUGUGACUCGUCACACUAUCAUUAACUGAAUCCAUAGGUUAAUGAGGCGAACCGGGGGAACUGAAACAUCUAAGUACCCCGAGGAAAAGAAAUCAACCGAGAUUCCCCCAGUAGCGGCGAGCGAACGGGGAGGAGCCCAGAGCCUGAAUCAGCAUGUGUGUUAGUGGAAGCGUCUGGAAAGGCGCGCGAUACAGGGUGACAGCCCCGUACACAAAAGCGCAUGUGCUGUGAGCUCGAUGAGUAGGGCGGGACACGUGGUAUCCUGUCUGAAUAUGGGGGGACCAUCCUCCAAGGCUAAAUACUCCUGACUGACCGAUAGUGAACCAGUACCGUGAGGGAAAGGCGAAAAGAACCCCGGCGAGGGGAGUGAAAAAGAACCUGAAACCGUGUACGUACAAGCAGUGGGAGCACCCUUUGGGGUGUGACUGCGUACCUUUUGUAUAAUGGGUCAGCGACUUAUAUUCUGUAGCAAGGUUAACCG